rnacentral:rRNA from 1 species
UCCCAUCAGAACUCCGCAGUUAAGCGUGCUUGGGCGAGAGUAGUACUGGGAUGGGUGACCUCCUGGGAAGUCCUCGUGUUGCAUCCCC